AAGUAAAAGAGGCAUGCCCGAGUCUACAGAGCAGAUAAAGGCAAGUGGGCUUUUGCGAGCCCAUCAGCAAGCCCGUUGGCAGAUCGUGGAAUAAAAACAAUACGACAAGAAGCAAAAGGCGAUGAAGAUGAAAAAACUAGAGAGUCAAUGUCAGACAAGAUCCCAAAGAGCUCGAUCGUCCAAAUCCUCUUGUUGAUAGCUCCAAAGAGCACUUGAGAGUCUGUUCUGAGACAGAUGUUAGUGUAGUUGAGUGUGGCUGCGUGUAACAGAGCUCCUCGGAUGGCCAAAGCUUCAGCCAUGCACGGGGAGGAGACGAAAUUCAGAGAGAGGGCUUUGCGGCCUAGCUCCGCUUCCGAUUGGGUAGAGAAGAUCCACGCUAGUCCCGCUGAUUGUGCUUUCCAAGACGCGUCCGUGUUGCAGAAGAUGGUGGGUACCGUCAAGGGCCGGUUGUGAUUGAUGUUGAUGUGAGGCUGUGGAGCCUUCGCAGCGGGGGCUAAAGGUUGAGCUUGCUCCCAUUCCCUUGCCGAUCGAAUUGCUUGGGAGAGAACCUCUUGGGCGGAAAGACGGAGGUUGUGGAAGAUUCGUUUGUUUCUUGCAACCCAGAGGUUCCAGAAAAUCCAUGGAAAGAUGUUUCCUUUAAUCCCCAUUGGUGAGAGAUUCUUCCAGGAGUAGGAUUGUUGCAACGUAGUGGCAAAAGGAGCUUCCGAAUCCAACGACAAAGGGGUAGUCCAUAACUCUUGGGCCCAGACUUCUUUAGCCAGGGAACAGUGGAAGAAGAUAUGGUUCAGGGAUUCAGCAUCUCCACAGGAUUGGCAAAAAGUGUUGCAGGUGCAAGAACUUCAUGCUGUACUAGGGAGAAAUACCCUGUCUUCACCGAGUAUUUUCCAGAGUUCUAUAGAGGCCAGACAUAGGAGUCUUGAACAUCGAGGAGACUGGGUUUGAUGGUUUGAAUGAUCGAAGCGAGCUCUGGAAGUAAGUGGUUGAUUCUCUCUAAAUUCCAUUCUCUUGUUUCCCGAGUGAGAAUAUCUUAGACCAUAAGGUCUUUAUCUAGGUUGAACACAGGGCCGUAAGGCUUCAGCUGUGUUUCCGGGUUAAUCCACGAGUCAGAUCAUAAAUUCGUAGAUUCACCAUUCCCUAUAACCUUUCCAAGGUGUUGCAGUAGGAGGUCUCGCCCUUUGAGAAUACCUCUCCAGCCAUGUGAAAUACAAGAACUUGCUUGCACCUUAAGGAAAGACGUUUUAUGACAGUAGAUGAUCCUUGAAAACAGGCAAUCAGGAACGGUGAGUAUUCUCCAGGCGAUUUUUGCAAGAAGCGAUUGAUUGAAAGCUUCAAUGUCUCGGAAGCCCAAUCCACCCAUGCUUUUUGGCUUCGUUAGUGUGUCCCAAGAGACCCAACAGAUCUUAUUUUCUCCCGCCUUUGGAUCCCACCAAAAUCUGAUAGAAAGCGGGUUGACCAGCUUAUGGACUUCUGAUGCAUUCUGUCGACAAUGGAGGAGAAGAGAUAUUUUUUCCGUCUGCCAAAAUGCUCAGGGAGACCUAGCUGGUGUUUUUCAGGAGAAGGAGAUUGAAGACUUAAGCACAUUUAUCUUCUGUCCAGAUGCUGACUCGUACUUCUGGAGGAUGUCAACAAGGGAGGAACAGCUAUGGCUAUCUGAGUUGGUGAAGAACAUGGUAUCAUUGGCGAACAAGAGAGCCCCGCCAAGACCUCGCCACAAAUAAUGAAGAUAUAGGGGGAGAGGGGAUCUCCCUGUCGAAUCCCCCUCUCUGGAAUAACUCUCCCGACGACCUCAUCAUUAAGGAGAAAAGAGUAGGAGACUGUGGUGAUGCAUUGCAUCAUCCAGAGCACCCAGGUUGAGCAGAACCCCAACCGUUCCAGCACGAAAUCUUGAGGUAGUGGAGCAUCUCAUGAGUAAUCAAGACGUUGUCAGAAAUGACUCUUCCCGGGAUGAACGCCGACUGAUUCUCCGACACUAUACCCUCAAGCACAGGGCCCACUACAUCCCAAUUGGAUUGGAAAAAACUUGCAGAGAAACCAUCGGGUCCCGGUGCCUUGUCUGGAUGGAUAGCAAAAAUGGCUUCUCUUAUCUCCAGAAUCGUCGGAAUGGUAGUGAGCUGCGAGUUCAUAUCUGUAGUAAUGCGUGGGGAGAUGGCUGAGUGUACUAUCUCUGUAGCUGAAGUUCCCGUGAAGGUGAAGAUAUCUGUGAAAUAAGCAGAGAUGACUGCUGCAAUCUCAGAAAAUUAGUAAUGAGCAUCUUCAUGUAUUUAUAUCACCAAUUUUACUUUUAAAACUUUUUAAACUUAUAAUAGCUUUAUGAAUAUUUUACUUCUAAAUGUAAAGAUUUAUAAAAUCUUAUAAAAGAUUUAUAAACUCUUGAAAAAGAUUUAUAAACUCUUGAAAAAGAUUUAUAAAAUCUUAUAAAUAUUUAUAUAUGUUUUAAAAACUUUAUAGAUAGUUGAUACAAGGUUU